rnacentral:rRNA from 1 species
AACGAACGCUGGCGGCGUGGAUAAGACAUGCAAGUCGAACGGGAACUUCAGCUGUAGCAAUACAGUUGAAGUUUUAGUGGCGAACGGGUGCGUAACACGUGGGCAAUCUGCCGAGAAGUGGGGGAUAGCUCGCCGAAAGGCGAAUUAAUACCGCAUAUGAUCAGCUAAGACAUCUUAGCGACAUCAAAGCCGGGGCAACCUGGCGCUUUUUGAGGAGCCCGCGGCCUAUCAGCUAGUUGGUGAGGUAACGGCUCACCAAGGCUAUGACGGGUAGCUGGUCUGAGAGGACGACCAGUCACACUGGAACUGAGACACGGUCC